CCUACGGGAGGCAGCAGUGGGGAAUAUUGCACAAUGGGCGAAAGCCUGAUGCAGCGACGCCGCGUGAGGGAUGACGGCCUUCGGGUUGUAAACCUCUUUCAGCAGGGAAGAAGCGAAAGUGACGGUACCUGCAGAAGAAGCGCCGGCUAACUACGUGCCAGCAGCCGCGGUAAUACGUAGGGCGCAAGCGUUGUCCGGAAUUAUUGGGCGUAAAGAGCUCGUAGGCGGCUUGUCACGUCGGGUGUGAAAGCCCGGGGCUUAACCCCGGGUCUGCAUUCGAUACGGGCUAGCUAGAGUGUGGUAGGGGAGAUCGGAAUUCCUGGUGUAGCGGUGAAAUGCGCAGAUAUCAGGAGGAACACCGGUGGCGAAGGCGGAUCUCUGGGCCAUUACUGACGCUGAGGAGCGAAAGCGUGGGGAGCGAACAGGAUUAGAUACCCUGGUAGUCCACGCCGUAAACGGUGGGAACUGGGUGUUGGCGACAUUCCACGUCGUCGGUGCCGCAGCUAACGCAUUAAGUUCCCCGCCUGGGGAGUACGGCCGCAAGGCUAAAACCUUAAAUGAAUUGACGG
rnacentral:rRNA from 1 species